AAUAAUAAUGAUGAAAACUUUGGUUAAAGGAUCAUUCGCCACCACCAAACAUGCACAUAAUAUAUCAAUUCUAUCAUUAAUUUAUAUUAAAACUAUCAAUCAUAGACAACAAUAAGCUCUGUUAGUCUCAAUCUUUCCUUAGUGUGUCAUUAGGCAAAAUAAGCUCUUCACCUAAUCUCUAACCAUUAAAUAAUUUAAAACAAGCUCUUUAAAUUUAAGAUCAUGGAAGUAUUAAACAGAGAACGAUAUUAGGUUGAUCUAGGCAAUAAACACGCAAGCUCGGAUUAUUUAACCUAGGUUAUGUUCUUCAAUUGAAAUCACUAAUUCCAACAUGCUACUAAUGAUUAAAAUAUCAAGACAAUUACGGAUCAAGAAUUUUAAUCUAUCAAUAAAAUUUAUUCAAGUCCUAUCUAAUUGGCCACUCAAAUAAAACAAGAAUAAAUCAGGAACAUUAAUUAUAGAAGAACAUAAACAAUCUCAAUUAAAUAAAUUGAAUGAUAGAAUUUAAAUUUAAUUGCAUAGCAUGUUUAGGGUUUUGAAUUCACCUUCAACCAAAUAAAAAUCUAGCCUAACAUAAUUGAAUUGGGAAUAAGAGAAUUGACAAAACCAAUCAUGGAGAUUAAUUCAAGCGGCUGCCUUUGUUUUAUUUUAAUUAAGUAUUUUAUGUAUUUUAGGGGCAUCAUAGUCAUUUCACAAUAAAAAAGAGAUCAGACGGCAAAACAGACAUCACUUUUUAACUCAGGACGGUCGAAAACCUUAGGAGGAGCAUAAAAGGAAAAAUGACACUGUUCACAUGUAUGGUACUAUUCACGUGUACGAUAUUGUCUACGUUACUGUUCACGACACUGUUCACAUAGACGGAUCAAUGACGUGGCAUUGAUUGAUGAGGUGUCACGAUUUUUUUGGACUAAAAUUCUUAUGUAUUGUUGAUGGUGACGUGGCAGCAUAUCAGUAGACCAAAAAUCUCGCGUACGGUACAUGCAUCACACAUGAUUAUUUUCAACCAAACCGUGUUACUGUUCAACCCGGGUCAAACCGUGUUACUGUUCAACCCGGGUCAAACCGUGUUACUGUUCAUCCACGUGGUCAAACCGCGUACUGUUGACUGAUGACGUGACGCAAUCUUGAGCGUCCAAACUGUUUUUAAUUCGAUGGCCAUGAUUUACUCCAUGUAUCUAUAAAAGGGGGUCUUCCCCCCCUAAUUUGAUAUCUCUGAAUCCAUUUUUGGGAUCCAUUUGCUGUAAUUCCUUCUCCAUCUUGUAUUUUCUAUGUAUUUUUAUAAAUUCUCAUUUUGCCCCUAGUUCAAUUAUGAGUGACUAAUUUUCUUUCAAGUUUGAGUUGAAGGUGAAGUCUCAACAUGUGUUAUGGGCUUUAUUUGGUAAAUUUACUUUCUCUUUCCCUCUAAUUUUUGUGGAUGUUUUGACUUCUCGUCGACAAAUAAUACUAUUCUUGUCUAUUACCGUCUUGGUUUCACCGGCCCCCUAGUACAAGGUUAUUAUUAUUUGGCACGAUAAGCCCUUAGCACCAUAAUAAUUAGAGUGUGGUUCAUGAGGUGUGGAUUCCCCCCUCAUGAUUUAAUUGGUAUUAAUAAGGAAUAUUUAGCCCAUGAUGCAUGUUGAUACGGAUCCAGAUACCCAAGUACGUUAUCUCAAUAGAUUUCUUUUCAAUUUAUUCUCGCCAUUUCAAUUCCAAUUUUAGAAUUUAUUCUCGCCAUUUCAAUUCCAAUUUUAAGAUAAUCUAAAUCACUUUCACCACAAAUCCAACCACCCUCAUACAAAAUUAAUUCUACAUAUAAUUAAAAUCCACCUCCUCGUGGGAUCAAUACUCGUCUCCAUUAAUCUAUUCUACAAUAGAUUCGUGCACUUGCGAGUUCAAUAAAAUUUGCACAACAAGUUUUUGGCGCCGUUGCCGGAGAGGUAAGUUAUUUUAAUUUGUAAAAUUAAUUUUUUGUGAAUAAUUUCUUUUAUUUGUUUUCUUGUAUUUGUUUUAUUAUUAA
rnacentral:lncRNA from 1 species